rnacentral:sRNA from 1 species
UUUGCUGAAUUGAAAACGAGGCUAGUAAUAUGAGACCACUUCCGCAGACAGAUUUCAACCUUUGGUUUGCAGAGAUCGUUUGAUUUUCACGUUUUAAAAUUUUGAUUGUUCUGGUUACAUCACACCACUAUCUUUCAAGGAGCAUAAACUCUUCUAAAGAUGCCACGAACAUACAUCAGGAAAAAUAUGAGGAAGCAGUGGGCGGCUGACGCAAUGGCUGCAGCAGUUACUGCAGUUAGAAACAAAGAAAUGGGCCAUUUAAAAGCCAGCAAAACUUUUGGUGUUCCUAGAGCAACUUUAGAACGCAAGGUAAAAUGCAUUGACACACCACUCAGCGAAGUGGUAAAUGUUCCCUUAGGGAGAAAGCCUACAUUGCCACCUCAUAUUGAAGCAGAUUUGGUCAAUUACAUAAUUGAAAUGGAGGCUAGACUGUUUGGUUUAAAUAUCAUUUUUAUGUAGGCACCGAGAACUUUCUUUACGAAGUCCAGAAUCAACUUCAGCUGCUCGAGCCACUGUCUUUAACAAAGUCAAUGUUGGGAAAUUUUUUGAUCUUCUGGAAAAAGAAGUUGAUUUAAAGAAAUAUAAAUCAAAUCAAAUCUAUAACGUUGACGAGAAAGGCAUCACAACAGUGCAAUGUAAUAAUGCAAAAAUUAUUGCACUAAAAGGAAAACAAACAAAUUGGAGUCCUGUCAUCAGCUGAAAGAGGAAGGACAGUAACAACAGUGAUUUGCAUGAGUGCGGCUGGUGAAUAUGUACCACCAAUGUUGAUCUUUCCUCGCCAGCGGAUGAAGAUGGAGCUAAUGGAUGAAGCACCUCCUGGAUCCAUUUAUGCUUGCCACAAGACUGGGUGGAUUCAGUUGGAUUUAUUUACACAAUGGCUUCAACAUUUUAUCAACUUUGUCAAGCCCAGUCUGUUAAACACAGCUUUACUAAUUUUAGAUGGGCAUGCAUCACAUACGAAAAAUCUAGAUGCAAUAAACCUGGCAAGACAAAAUCAUAUCACAAUGAUUUGUCUUCCGCCACACUGCACUCACAGAAUGCAGCCCCUUGAUGUUUCAUUCAUGAAACCACUAACUACGUACUAUGACUCUGAAAUACAAGUGUGGCUGAGGUCACAUCCUGGACGAGUAAUCACGGAAUUUCAAAUUGCUUCCAUUUUCGCCAAAGCCUACCUUCGUGCUGCCAUCCAGCUGUUCCAAUUUGGAACUUGGUAACCAGGAACCUCUUAACAAAUCCUGGGGACCAGCUGACAUUAGUCCUUUUCCGGUGGCACAUUGUGAGUGAAGCAAAGGGAAAGGGCGGCGCAAAGGAUGUACCGCUGUUUUGACGAGCUCACCAUAUAAACAGACACUAUGUGAGCUGUCCACUUCUAAAUGUGUCCCAAAUAAACACAAAGGAAAUAAAUCAAAAGGCAAAUCAUCCAACCUAGGUGAUGAUGACACUCCUUGUAUAUAUUGCAAUGGCC